rnacentral:lncRNA from 1 species
GCCCCUAAGCCCAUAGUGGAGACUUAAAACUACUGACCCAAAGAAUUGAAAUCAUUUCAAGAAAAAAUUCUCUCUCUUCACUCCCAAACGCAGUAUGCUCUGCAAGUUCUCUCACCCUUUAUGAGAAACCUUCACCAGAGAAGAUGGUGGUUUCCAGCCACCUGAGGAGGCGUCACCUUCUUCUUCGGCAUACCAACCCAAAACCAAAAACGUUAAACACUAACCCUCCUUCUUUUUUCCUCCUCGAUCCGAAUCUGAAAACCUUUUCUUCCAAAUCCUCCAUAUAUGACCGGGUCGACCUCCCCAACUCAAAACUCAAAUUCUCUCCCUAAACCCAAAGUCAAAUUCCCUCUUACAUACGAACCCAGAACUAUCAAUCCCCAAAAUGACAAUAGAAAAAGCCAUAAACCACAAAUACGAAACCAAACCCUAAAUUAAAAUUAGCCACCAAUGUUAAUGAUUUCAAAAACACAAGGGGUUUAUGCUCAACUAUAUGUGACGAAGACAAUGGUGACCGAAAAUUAAAGAGAUAAUGAAGACUCACCAGAUCGGAGCUAGUCCGACAAUCUUUUCGGCAAGGUCAAUAUCUUUCGAAUCUUUUUGUCUUCUUACUUUUCUAUUCUUCCGUCCCUUUUUCUUCUCCUUCUCUGUUAGACACUUUAGAGUAUGCUUAUAGCUCAACCUUACUCAAACUCUGAUGCUGAGUUUGAGAGGUUAAUAAAAAAUGAGCUUUAUGAUUGGUGAGGGAAGAAAUUCGUAGAGUAACCUUAGGACCUCCUUUGCGAUGGCGUAAUAGUCGUAUUUAUAGGGCAUGAAUGGGAAAUGAGGGUGGAAUGAGAUACGUGCGAAAAUUGUUAGUUUCUUAGGAUUUUUCCUUGACUCGUGUGUAAAUCCGUUGAGAAUGAGGUGAGCUGUGAUUUUCUGUAGAUUAUCUUGUUGGUAC